rnacentral:misc_RNA from 1 species
GAUGAAGAACGCAGCGAAAUGCGAUAAGUAAUGCGAAUUGCAGAAUUCCAGUGAGUCAUCGAAUCUUUGAACGCACAUUGCGCCUCUAGGUAUUCCUGGAGGCACGCCUGUUCGAGCGCCAUUACACACUCCAAGCUCUGCUUGAUGUUGGACCGUCCGAGUCACAGACUCGGAGGUCUGGAACGUGUGGGCGUCGGGCGUCGGACCACGAGCGUAGCAAGACUUUUAAUCGGUCACGAUCGUUCUGUGGAGCCGGCGGUUGACGGUCUUCUUCCUCUCUCUCUCCCUUCCUCCUUGGAAGGCUGAGGGGUGGGAACAUUCUUUCCCCAAUGGAAAAAACAAAGUUUGGCCUCGGAUCAGGCGGGGAUACCCGCUGAACUUAAGCAUAUCAAUAAGCGGAGGA